rfam:Ipomoea nil DNA, scaffold: scaffold2221, cultivar: Tokyo-kokei standard.
GACCCUCAGGUCAUGGCGGAUUACCCGCUUGAGUUUAGCAUAGGUAAUAAGCGGAUGGAAAAGAAAUUACAAGGAUUCCCCUAGUAGGACGGCGAACGUGGAAACAGCCAGCACUUAGAAUCGGACGGCCCCCCGCCGUUUCGAAUUGUACGUCUGGAGAUGCGGUGCUCAGCGGGGGCGGACCGGGCCCAAGUCCCCUGAAAGGGGCGUCGAGAAGGCGUGAGAGCCGUGUGCCGGACCUGUCGCACCACGAGGCCUGUACGAAGUCGGUGUUUUUGGAAUGAAGCCCAAAUCGGCCGAGUGAUCGUCCCAAGCUAAAUACGGGCGAGAGAGACGCAUAGCGAACAAGACCGCGAGUGGAAAGAUGAAAAGGACUGUUGAAAAGAGAGUCAAGAGUGCUUGAAAAUUGUCGGGGGAAGCGAUGGAGAGCCGGCGAUGCCGCCCGUGUCGACGUAUGUGGAACUGUGAGACCGAUCCACGAUCUACUCGGGCGCGGACAGCGAGGCUGAUUCGGGAGGCCCAAAGCGGCUUGAGCGGCGGAACGUCGUCUUUAUGGUGUGGGAAGAAAGCGGCGCACCUGGCGUGCCUCGCACUGCGCGUCAGUCGCUGGCCUGUGGCUCUCCAUUCGAUACCCGUCUUGAAACACGGCCGGUCUCAUGUGUGCGAGUCAAACCGGGCCGAUAACCGUAAGCGGCAGGGAGCUGAUUGGCGGGAUCGCUCAGGGGGUCCGACGCCCGACGAGCCCGCGCUUGCAACUUCUGAGAAGGGUUACGAGUGCGCUCAUAUCUGUCGGGCCCGAAAGAUGUGAAUAUGCCUGAGCUCGUGCGGCAAGCCAGAUGGAAACCUCUUGGUGACUGGCCCGCAGCUGCGAUACUGAGGUGCAAAUCGUGUGUUGGCUUGGGUAUUACGGGCGAAAGACUAAUGAACCGUCUAGUAGCUGGUUCUCCGAGUUUCACUCAGGAAUAGUGGCGAGCUGGCGCGAGAGUUCUAUCGGUAAGCGCAAUGAUUAGAGCUAUCACGGAGGGUAACGCUCGACCUAUUCGUCAAACUUUUAAUAGGUAGCGACGGCGGCGUGCUCUUGUUGAGGCCGCGACGGAUCAAAGUCAAGUGGGCCUUUUUGGUUAAGCAGAACUGGCGUGCGGGAUGUAACGCAGCCGGUAUACGUCCAACGGCGCUAACCUAGAUCCCAACAAAGGGUAGUCUGGUCGAUUAGACAGCAGGACGGUGGUCAUGGGAAUGAUGUCGAAAUCGCUAGAGAAGAGUUAACAACUCGCCCGAAAUCAACUAGCGUCGCAAAAUGGGAUUGGCGCUAAGGGCGCGACCUUAUCCGGCGGGCAAGAGUAGGCCGGAUGAGUAGGCGGCGCGGAGGUCGUGCAAAACUGGCGGCGAGCCCGCGGGGGCCGUCGAUGCGCCAAGAAUCUGGUGGUAGGAGAAAUAGUCAAAUGAGAAGCUUUGAAAGGCGGAAGAGGGAAAGGUUACCAUGUGACACGGCUACUGCAUCGUGUCUGUGAUCUAAGGGCGGGGAAGCCCGACAGACAGCGAGUUUUGCGCGUGGCGCGAGAAUGGGAUAGUUCGGUUAAAUUCGUUGACCGGGACGUGGCGUGUUGAGGCAACGUUAGAGGGAUUCCGAGAGCGCGGCGGGAGGCGUCGGGAAGAGAUUAUCUUUUUGUUUAACGAGCCUGCCCACCCUGGACGGCCAGCGGAUAGGUCGGCGACUGGAAGAGCACAACGGUCGCGUGGUGUCCGGUGCGCCCCCGGCGCCCGUGAGAAUCCGGAGACCGAGUGCCGUCCACGCGCGGUCGUAUCUUCAUAACCGCAUCAGGUCUCCAGAAGUGACAGCUCUGGCAAAAUGGAACAAUGUAGGAAGGAGUCUGGCAAAUGGAUCCGUAACUUCGGGAAAGAGAUUGGCAUCUGAGGCUGGGCACGGGGUCCCAGUCCGGAACCCUGUCGGACUGUUCGUGCGGAUUGCUGAGUGCUACGGCGCGAGAGGGUGUAGUCGCGGGCGGCGGAGGAGAUGACUGGAAGGCUCUUUUCGGGGCUUCCCGGGCGUCGACGCAACUCAGAAUGGUACGCAGGCGGAAUCGUACUGUUUAUUAAUCAAAGCUUGCGAAUGGUCUGCGGAUGCUACGAAUGUGGAUUUCUGCCAGUGCCUGAAUGUCAAAAGUGAAAACAUUCAACAAGCGCGGAGUAAACGCGGGAGUAACUUAUGACUCUUUCAUUAGGUGCAAAUGCUGUAUUAUUAGUGAGGACAUGAAUGGAUUAACAGUCCCUGUCCUGUUGGACUAUCUCCAAGAACGAGCGGAACGGGCUUGGCAGAUAAGCGGGGAAAGAAGACCUGUUGAGCUUAUGGACUCUAGUCCGACUUGGUGAAAUGCUGAGAGGUGGUAGGAUAAGUGGGAGCGCGAAGAGAGCGAAAGUGCAAAUACACCUACUUUUAGACGUUAUUUCUACUUAUUUGUGAUCGGGGGCGGGUGAGCACCUCUUUUGGGAACCCAAGGCUCGUUGCGGGACGAUCUCGGCGGAAGACAUUGUCAGGUGGGCGAUGUUGGCUGGCGGCGGCACAUCUGUCAUAAUUAAGAUACGUGUGUCGCUAAAGAUUGAGCUAACAGAACAGAAAGCGUGUAGGAACAGAAGGUAAAUAGCUCGGUUGAUUCUGAUUUCGUAGUACGAAGUACGAACUGCGAAAGGUGGACCGAUAGACGAUCCUUUAGACUUCGGGAAUUCGAGGCUGAGAGUGUCAGAAAGUUAGCACAGGGUGAAGUGCUUGGUGGCGCCAGCGUUUCGCGUAAGCGCGUUGCGUCUUUUGAUUCUGUCCGAUGUCUCCUUCCUAUAUUGUGAGCAGAAUUCACCAAGUGUGUGACUGCUUUCACCACUCAUGAGGGAACGGAGGUGGUGUAGCCGUCGCUGAGACAGUGUAGUUUACCCUAGACUGACUAAAGACUGCUCGCAAUAGUAAUUGUCACUAGUACGUAGAGGAAACGUUGAUCUCGCAACUUGUUAUGCUUGGUUGAAAAGCAGUGGCGCCGAAGCGCGUGCGUUGGUUAUGAUUGAGACGCUCUAAGGUCAGAAUCCCGGGCUUAGAUCGCACCUUGCAAAGACAUCGCGCUGU